rnacentral:rRNA from 1 species
UACGGAGGGUGCGAGCGUUGUCCGGAAUCACUGGGCGUAAAGGGCGCGUAGGCGGCAUGCCAAGCGUGUGGUGAAAGCCCGGGGCUCAACCCCGGGUCGGCCGUGCGGACUGGCGUGCUCGAGCACUGUAGGGACGGGUGGAAUUCCGGGUGUAGCGGUGGAAUGCGUAGAGAUCCGGAAGAACACCGGUGGCGAAGGCGGCCCGCUGGGCAGGAAGGCUCGCAAGAGCCGGCUGACGCUGAGGCGCGACAGCGUGGGGAGCAAACAGG